rnacentral:rRNA from 1 species
UACGUAGGUGGCAAGCGUUGUCCGGAUUUAUUGGGCGUAAAGCGAGCGCAGGCGGUUCCUUAAGUCUGCUGUGAAAGUCCCCGGCUCAACCGGGGAGGGUCAUUGGAAACUGGGGAACUUGAGUACAGAAGAGGAGAGUGGAAUUCCAUGUGUAGCGGUGAAAUGCGUAGAUAUAUGGAGGAACACCAGUGGCGAAGGCGACUCUCUGGUCUGUAACUAACGCUGAGGCGCGAAAGCGUGGGUAGCAAACAGG